AGCAAGGGAAAAGGUCCCAAGCUGCCUCAGGCAGGAUUGCAGCUCCUCGGGAGAGGAGAGACUAAGCUAGAGAAAGACGAAGAGGAGGCUAAUAAAAAAACUCAUAUCCAGGAUGCAAACAAUUUUUGAAGAAAGCCUCAGUAAUUCUAGACAUGCAUCUGAACAGCACAUUUUCCACAACAGCUGUUCUGGAGUCCAUGAAGCAGCCAUGGACACAGGCAGGCUGCUUUGUCCUACAUCAGUCUGAGCUGAUUCCAGGACUUAGACCUCUGUUGGACGUUAUUAUUUACAUCCAGGAGCUCCGUUUUCAUU